CAAGAGAGGAUGCACAACUUGGCUCAAGGGGGAAAUUCAAAUUCAGCUCUCCUGAUGCAUUGUCAUGGCCCAGUUUAUUUUCUUCAGAAAUACAAUUAUGCCAUGGAUGGAACCGAGAAGGAACCUCAUUCUUUGUCCACACACAUGCCAUGGCUAUCUUCUUCCCAAAUGAUGAGGUUGGAUGCUGGGAAUGCAGUUGCUUUGCAGUUCCAUAUAUGUGUCUCAUAAGUAACGUGGCCGUUUUCUCUGCACUUGGACGGAUCCAAGCCCCCCCAAGUAGACAUGAACCAGUGUGUAGCCGAUUCUCAUCUAGGUCCCUGCCUGCAGCAUUAGUCAGUGUGUGGGAACAACUCCCUGAUUCAACCUAAUAGAACACAAGAAUUCCUUGGAAAAAUGAAAGCCAUAGCUCAUAGCAGAACUUCUUUGCAGCUCACAUUUUAGC